rnacentral:rRNA from 1 species
AGAUCACUAGUGAGAAUGAUGACAUGAGUAGCGACAAACAGGGUGAGAGACCCUGUCGCCGAAAGUCCAAGGGUUCCCGCUUAAAGCUAGUCUGAGCAGGGUAAGCCGACCCCUAAGGCGAGGCCGAAAGGCGUAGUCGAUGGGAACCAGGUUAAUAUUCCUGGGCCAGGAGGAUGUGACGGAUCCCGAGGGUAGUUUCUUCUUAUCGGAUUGAAGAGGCUGCUUAGGGGUUCCUGGAAAUAGCCCUCCAUUAGAUCGUACCCUAAACCGACACAGGUGGACUGGUAGAGAAUACCAAGGCGCUUGAGAGAACUAUGUUGAAGGAACUCGGCAAAAUACCUCCGUAAGUUCGCGAGAAGGGGGCCCGGUUUCUACGCAAGUAUUGACUGGGGGCACAAACUAGGGGGUGGCGACUGUUUACUAAAAACACAGGGCUCUGCGAAGUCGCAAGACGACGUAUAGGGUCUGACGCCUGCCCGGUGCUGGAAGGUUAAAGGGAGGGGUGCAAGCUCUGAACUGAAGCCCCAGUAAACGGCGGCCGUAACUAUAACGGUCCUAAGGUAGCGAAAUUCCUUGUCGGGUAAGUUCCGACCUGCACGAAUGGCGUAACGACUUCCCCGCUGUCUCCAACAUAGACUCAGCGAAAUUGAAUUGCCUGUCAAGAUGCAGGCUUCCCGCGGUUAGACGGAAAGACCCCGUGCACCUUUACUACAGCUUCACACUGGCAUUAGGCCGAACAUGUGCAGGAUAGGUGGUGGGCUUUGAAGCUGGAACGCUAGUUUCUGUGGAGCCUCCCUUGAGAUACCACCCUUGUUCUGCUUGAUGUCUAACCGCGGUCCGUUAUCCGGAUCCGGGACCCUGUGUGGCGGGUAGUUUGACUGGGGCGGUCGCCUCCUAAAGCGUAACGGAGGCGCGCGAAGGUUGGCUCAGAGCGGUCGGAAAUCGCUCGUUGAGUGCAAUGGCUGAAGCCAGCCUGACUGCGAGACUGACAAGUCGAGCAGAGUCGAAAGACGGCCAUAGUGAUCCGGUGGUCCCAAUUGGGAGGGCCAUCGCUCAACGGAUAAAAGGUACGCCGGGGAUAACAGGCUGAUACUGCCCAAGAGUCCAUAUCGACGGCAGUGUUUGGCACCUCGAUGUCGGCUCAUCUCAUCCUGGGGCUGGAGCAGGUCCCAAGGGUACGGCUGUUCGCCGUUUAAAGAGGUACGUGAGCUGGGUUUAGAACGUCGUGAGACAGUUCGGUCCCUAUCUGCCGUGGGUGUAGGAUACUUGAGAGGAGUUGCCCCUAGUACGAGAGGACCGGGGUGAACGAACCACUGGUGGACCAGUUGUCGUGCCAACGGCAGUGCUGGGUAGCUAUGUUCGGACAGGAUAACCGCUGAAGGCAUCUAAGCGGGAAGCCCCCCUCAAAACAAGGUAUCCCUGAGAGCCGUGGUAGACCACCACGUCGAUAGGCCAGA